GAUUGAUUGAGGGAGAGAGUGGUGGGUUUUUUGCCGGACAUCAGUGGUCAAACAGCGCUGCAAGAUGCUGGACUGCUACGACGGUCACCGGCGAGGUCGUUACUCAAUAAUGUGACUGAUGAAAAUAGAUGGAGAAGCGGAGUUAACAGCGACANCUUUCCUGCUAUGGAUGAAAGAUAACAGAGAAGAGGGGAAAGAUGCAUAUGGCAGCGGUUGUCACUUGCUGAAAUUUAAUGAGAAG
rnacentral:lncRNA from 1 species